UUCAUGCUGUCUACUCUAUUGAUGACAUCUCACUGACAAAUUGUCUAUUGUAAGCUGAAUGUAUGCUGGAAAUGGUGUAUUAGGAAUUGAGCUCAAGAAGAUCCAGAAAUGAUACCAGCAAACAGUUACUGCUGAAAGCAUCCUGAGUGACACAAACUUGAAGCAUGCAAGAGGACUAAAUAACUUCCAAAGUCACACAUAUUGCAUGUCAAGAGCCAGCUUCAAACUCAAGUCCCUGUGACCAGAGGUCGAUGCUCUAAACACAUUUCUGCAUGACCUGCUUGUGGCAGCCUGGAGAAAUUCUACAUAAAUCUUCUCAGAUUCCAGAGGCUGCGAGGUCUGAGAUCAAGGAUCUGACACCUGGUGAGGGCCUUUUUGCUGCAUCAUUUCACAUAGAGACAAAAAGAUUCUCACCUGUAAGCUUGAAUUAUGUCUACAUCAUGCUUGGGAAAUGUCCAUAUAUUCUAAGCUUGAAACUGCAGUGAUGAGGACGUCACCACUUCCAGAGAGAACACUUUACUACCAGGCAACUUGAGUACAAUAGGCAGCCACAAAUAUCAUCCUUGCUAGCCAGGAAUGACAAGGAGCAAGCCACAUGAGGAGUCAGAAAAGAUUAUUCCAGGCAGGGCUGAGAUCUGCAUUAUGGUCUGGAGGCUGCCCCAGUCUCUCCUUUACCUCCAUAUUUUUCUCACAGUUCUUGAGCAUCCAGUAAAUGCCAGAUGAAGCAUGGGGACACUGAGAUAACUAUACUGCUAUAGCUUCUGGUCUUAGGGUACAAAGAAUCUACAGAGAGAGCCACAGGAAAUCCUCAACUAUUCUAAUAAAAAUACAUGUUCAAAAACAAGAAUUGAAGCAAGAGAAGAAUGAUCAGUAAGGGCUUCAUGAAAGAAGAAACCAUUGAGUUUACUUUUACAAUGAAAUAUCUUUGGGGAG
rnacentral:lncRNA from 1 species